rnacentral:tRNA from 1 species
GGGGUCAUAGCUCAGCUGGCUAGAGCGCUACAAUGGCAUUGUAGAGGUCGUGGGUUCGACUCCCACUGGCUCCACCA